GGGUUAUGGGAGCAUUGUGGAUUCUUGCUGUGGUUCAAUUUUGCCACCUGGAAAGUAGAGGUGCAGUUCACAAGUUUGCUAAUUAUUCUUCCCUGCCUACAACCCUCGGGCGUGGCUGUAUAUGCUUUCAUAUCGCACAUGUGGCAUCCGAUAAGCCAGGCAGAAAAUCUGCUCUAAGAACAUUUUUGCAACUGUUAGCUCCCGUCAAGUAAGACUAUGACAAAAAAGGUGACUAAUUCUGCAACUCACAGAGAAGAUUCUGGACAAAGACACAAGACUAGUAGCAUUGUCUUAUUUAUUAAUGUAAUUCAAACAUUUUGCUGAUAAAACUUUUGUCCAUGACUAUCCUAGCAACAAAAUUUUACUCAAAAUAUUUCACUAUGAAAUGGUGUUGCAACUUCAGUGUAGUUUUUAUGAAUGGAGUGAUUUUCAUAAAGCAAAUCUUACUCUUAAAAUGGCAGAUUCAGUGACCAAAAGUGAUUUAAAAAAA